UACAGAGGGUGCGAGCGUUGUUCGGAAUUACUGGGCGUAAAGAGCUCGUAGGUGGUUUGUCGCGUUGUUCGUGAAAACCGGGGGCUUAACCCUCGGCGUGCGGGCGAUACGGGCAGACUUGAGUACUGCAGGGGAGACUGGAAUUCCUGGUGUAGCGGUGGAAUGCGCAGAUAUCAGGAGGAACACCGGUGGCGAAGGCGGGUCUCUGGGCAGUAACUGACGCUGAGGGGCGAAAGCGUGGGGAGCGAACAGG
rnacentral:rRNA from 1 species